UGCGGAGUGGGAGAUUGGGUGGGGAAAAUGGGGAGGUGGUGGCGGAGAAGAAGCAGAGGGUCGACCCUGGGCCGGAAUCUUCUAGGCAAGUUCGCCGGAGGGCGAGGCAAGCUAAGGCGGCGGCCCUGGCGACUGAGAGGGAGGCGGUUGCUGCUGUUCUCGCGGCUGUCGAGGCUGCGGCUGCUGCUAGCCCCGUGGCUGUGGUUCCCGUCGCUGCUACGCAGCAGCAGUCUGGGAGGAAGUGCCAGCCGCCAGCGUGGAAAUGGGAGCGGUCGGUAUCGCUAUGUUGCCAAGAAUCUAGAGGACGCGGCGCUGGAUAAACUGCCGCCGAAGCCAGAGCUGCCGUCAUCAUCCGAGGGGUUGGAUUUGGGAGGCCUCCCUGUUCUGGAUGUCUUCCAAGUCUACUCCUGCUUGAGAUCAUUUAGCAGGCAGCUAUUCCUAACUCCUAAGCGUGUUUGCACUAGACGCAUUUGUGGCUGCACUGCGGUGUACCCACGUGGACCCUUUGAUUGAAGGCAUUUUGCUCCGCUCCGGUCUCUGAGGAGUCAUUUGGAAGAUCUGGCCACUGAAGGGGACCCUUCAGCAGUACACUGUAUCAGAUCUAAAGCUGUUGAACACAGAGUACUACAUGCAACCAGCAACAAUAAAACUCGAGCUGCUGCGCACACUGUGAUGAUGUGUUGGAGAUUGAGAUUGUACGUUUUGAACUUGGUUUAAGGGAGUUGGAUGGAAAUGAUGAGGGCUAUAGAAGCACUAGAGCGAGAGGGCAAAUGAGAGGUUCUUCUGUCAAGGGCUGAGCAGAUUCUUCUCUGCCUCCGGAUGGCUCUGACGAUAUGGAUGAUGGUAACAGUGACGAGUGUUAUCUGUGUGGUAUGGAUGGUAACCUGUUAUGCUGUGAUGGUUGUCCUGCUGCUUUUCAUUCAAAAUGUGUGGGGGUGGUGGAGGAUCUAUUGCAUGAAGGAGAGUGGUAUUGUCCUUGUCCUGAGUGUUUGAUGCAGAGGAAUAAUGGGUCCAGAAAUAUGGCAAAGCUUGGUAGAGGAGCAGAGGUUCUGGGAAUCCAUCCACAUGGUCGACUGUACAUUGGCGCCUGCAACUAUGUUUUACAUAGAUUUCAUCCUUUGGUGUUACUUAUAAUUAUAUACAUAGCUUUCUCAAAGCUC